CCAGUUUUCCUUCCUGCCAGUACAUCCAUCAGGGUAGUCUUACCCGCUCCACUGACUCCCAUCAGUGCCGUCAAGACUCCUGGUCUGAAGGCUCCGCUUACACCCUUCAGCAGCAGUAACCUGUCUUCAAGUAUUUGAUAUUGUCAAAGGUGAUUGACAAUGGUGUAAAUGGAAGUACCAUUCCUCUCUUCCUGGUGCCAGUUCCAAUGAUUUCUCUUCUUCCUGCAUUUGUUAGAAUUGUUACAAGAAUGCAACAAUGGCAUGUUCGAUUUAUCAGGUGGUGCACAUGAAUAUCCUUUGGACUAACCAUCAGGAGAAAUCUGGGAAUCUGUUCCAAGCUGCAGCAGCUCGAUAUUUUCACCAGUACGGUUCACAUGCUUCUCCCGCAGUUCCUCUUCAGAAACAACGGUUUGACCUUUCCCAAGUGCUGUGGUUUUGAGAACGGCGUCAGUGCCAGACAUGAGAUGCUUUGAGUUCUAUGAAUUAAUCUAUUUUUGAGCUGAGAAGUUACUCACGGCCAAGCCAGUCGAGGAACAAAACGAAGAGUAUGUUGAAGAGCAUGAUGUACCCAAGCAAUGCACCAGCACCGAUCCAAUACCAGUUUGGGUCGACAAAGAUGCCACGUGCCUUCAGAAUUUGGACACCAAGUGUCUCGUUACUUCUUGUUGGAUCAACAAUCUGCAUAAAGUUUGACAUUGUUUGUCAUCUAUCUAUUUGAACUGCACAAUGAUCACGCCUAGAUUGCUUCAGAGAAGAUGCAUUACCAUCUGCCAGCUGUGGCCCAGGAACUCAUUAUUAGCUAUGGCAUUUUGUGCAUACAUCAGAGGGGAGGACCAGUAGCCCCAAAUCCACCAUUUCUUGAUGUUAUCUGUAGAUAGAGAGAGAAAACUCAGUUCCAGGCUCUGGAUAAUAUCUAAGCAUUGUCCGAAUAGAGACUUGACAUACCUCUUGCUAUCAAAAAGCCACCAAGGAUCAGAAGAACAAGCUGAGCGAAUGACCCAAAGGUGUCUGCGACAACCAUUUCUCUUCCUAAUGCAGCAAGAAGCCGGAAAAGACCAGACGCCAUCUGGCUGAUUAGUACAAGCAGCAGGUAAUGGCGGAAGAACCUUUCGAUAUUUGGAUCAAAGCCAAUGACAUAGUAAGUCAUGCCAAUCCACACAGCGCAUUCCAAGAAUGAUAUUGGGAUCUUGAGCACCCAUGUAGGCAAUGCGUACGCCCAAGAUGGAUAGAAGAGGAGAUCCCUCUGCUUAUAGAAUAUCGGCAGCUUUGCAAUGCUCAUGGCAAGCUCAGCGAAACCAUUAAACAAAUGUGUGACUAGGCCAAGGAACAUUGCCCCCAGAAAUAUCACUCCAUCUUCAACACUGCGUCGAUGCAUUGUCGUGCGCAGGAAGACCGUCAUUGCAAUGGUUCCGAGGAUUAUUAGCUGUACAAAUAUGGAACAUUCAUCAGAAAUUAUUAUCUGAAUUGAGAAGAUUUCAGGAAGCAGGAUACAUACCUGGACUACUUUGAAGAUGUAAACAAACGAGUUCCUCUUCAUCAACAGCCACUCCCUAGAGAAGCAUGCCCUGAGAAGCUCCAUCUUACUGAUACCAUACUUGGAUGUUGUGAGAGCUGCAGGGUGGUUCCUGGUUCGAUCGAAUGGCACCUUGAGCUCCGAUCCUAGCUUACGCCCAACAUGGAAUGCUUUGAAUGCCUUUGCAAAGUCAUUAACCGAGAUGUAUCGGUAUGGCUCAUCUCUUCGACACCAAUACUGAUGCUGAUCCUUCCUAGACGUAACCUGUGACAUCACAAAAGGAAACACUGUGAGAUUGGAGUUCCGGAUCACAACGUGCAGCUAGCAUGGUUCUUUUGGAAUACCCACUUCUUGCAAGAAGUCUGCAACACCUUUUCUCUCAGGACAUUUGAAGCACAUGGCCUCAAAGAAUUCAAGGACAUGCUCACGAGGACCCUGGUAUACUAUUUGGCCCUCAGAGAGGAGAACAAUGUCAUCAAAGAGCUCAUAUGUUUCAGGUGCAGGCUGAAGCAAUGCGAUAAGUGCCGUUCCACCAAGGAUGUGGACCGACUGCCGUAGAGAGUUAACGAUCUGAUAUGUUGUGGAGCUGUCCAGACCAGUGGAUAUUUCAUCCAUGAAUAGUGCCUUAGCUGGCCCAACAAGCAUCUCACCUGUGGAAGUUAAACAAGUCAAGAAGUCAGAUUUUACGGUCAGGUUCAAAGGGCUUGAUGCACAUAUCAUUCUGUAACUUAAGGUUGCACAUACCUGUUGUGACACGCUUCUUUUGUCCUCCUGAGAUACCUCUGAUCAUAGAAUCCCCAACCAUUGUAUCUGCACAGAUCUCCAGACCCAGAAUCUGCAAAGAAAUACAAGUACUGUUAGGGGGCAGAUCCAUUUCUCCUGCUACUUUUCAUGUAGUGUAUUUUUACUCACUUUGAGGAUAUAAUCUGUGACCACGCUCUCCUGACCUUCCACAGAGAUAGCCUGUUUGCACAGAAGAGCACAAUAAUCGUGAGUACACCUUGUUACUUCCAAUAUAAAUACAGGGUUUAGUUCGAAGUAAAUGAAUUAUACCUUCAUGUAAACAUCGAUAUCAGGAUCUGGCUUAAUGUUGGCUUCUUUCUCCCUUCUUGAGAGUUCCGUGAGCAACUCUGUAUAACCCAAAACACUAUAAGGUUCACUCUACCAAAGAGAAGGCAAGUGUUUCCCGGACUGUCAUUUCGCCGACGUGAACAUCGUGCUGACCAAUGUACGCGGAUGUCCGCUGAGGGACAAAUUCAUUCAUGUCAUGCCCAUUUUUUUUGCCUGAAGUUCAGAGCAACACAGCAACUCAAACUCAGGAUAAUAUGCAAGAUGUGGUAUAUACCUUCAGAGAUGAGUCAAGUUUCCCUGACAAAGCCAGAAGUAGACUAGUUUUCCCAGACCCAGGAGGCCCAAGCAACAGAGACAUCCUGAACAAUUUCCACAUGAGCUAGAGAACAAAAUUCAAACUUCGCAUAUUUAAAACUCUUCGACUCCUUACAAAAUUCAAACUUUGCAUAUUUAAAACUCUUCGUCUCCUUACCGACCAGGCCUUAUGAUUCCACUGAUGUCAUGAAGGAUGGAGAUUGGCCUCUUCCCGCUCGAAACGAUGCGCAGGGCACUUAGUGCAUCCUGUUAUGGGAUUGGGACGGAGCAGCUCGAUGGAGUCAGAAGCUGAAGAAACUUGAAAGCUGUACGUUUUCCACGGCUAGGAAGAAUUCAUGAAGCUGCCACGGCGGUCUGCAGAUGCGUACCAUGACUUUGUUGGAGAAGAAGUUGGUGAACGUCGGGACGCCCCUAUUGCCGACGUAAGCCUCUGCGUCGAUGUUGAGGUGCUCAAACCGCACUUCUAUUGUCGGAUUGUCAAUCCCAACUCUGCAAAAACCAACACAGAUCGUGAAUAUGCGCUGGAUAAUGAAAUGGUCUCUGAUGCUUGCGCAGAAUAUUUUCCAAGUGCUU